rfam:Helianthus annuus linkage group 15, whole genome shotgun sequence.
AGUCCAUGAUGGGAUAUGUGCGAAGCAUGUCCUUGAAAUGUUCCCAUGCCUCAUAAAAUGAUUCGCUAUCUUCUUGAGAGAAAGUAGUGAUAUCAUUUCUUAAUUU